rnacentral:lncRNA from 13 species
GCUUUUCCUCAGCCUAGCGUGCCUCUCCCCCAGCCUCCAUCUGGUUUACUCUCAUUUGUGAAGACUUCAUUCAAGCCAGGUCCUUUUUGCCACCUGGGAUGAGCAGGGAUUCACCUCCUCGCUUCUCCUGUCAUUUUUAUCAGGAUUGCAUUCAUCACGUCACUCCAUAACUUUGUAUCUUCAUGUUUGUUUUCCUCACAGGUUGUAAGAUCUUCAUGGGAAAAGAUGGGAUUUGAUUGUCAUUCAAAAUACAGUGCCUAAUUCAAUGCCUGGCACAUUGUCUGGUGAAUGAACUUAUUAACCCAUAAUGAAAUGUCACUGCAGGAGAGACCAGAAUAUUCUUCUUGGCAGUUGAAUGAAGCCAUACCCAGCAAGUUCUGCCUACAUCUCAUUGGCCAGGAAAUAUGUCACAAGAUCACACUACAACCAUAAGGUAGGCUGAAAGACACAUAUCUUUUAACCUGGGCAUACAUUGUCAUCCUGAACAAAACUGGGGUUCUUUUAACUGGGGUUAAAAAGAAGAAAAUAGAUAUUGGAUAGCCAGUAGUGUCUGCUGUGAACAUAAAUUAUUAUUCAAAAUAAUUUUUUAAGCAGGCAAUUCCUAACUCUGGAUUGAUUGAAGUUCUGAAAAUACUAAUUUCUGUUUAUUGUUUGCAACUCAGGUAGUACUUACUAAUAGAGAAAUUGUAAAAAGGGUUUUGGGUACUCAUUUAUUCCCAGUGUGUUUCAAGCAUCGAGAACAUACAGGGAUUAUACUGCACAGAGGCAAACUCCAAAGUGUUGGAGGAUUUUAACUCCUCUAACAGCUGUGGGAAACCUUAUCCUGUUUGGCAUUAAGCUGAACAUCUGAUAACAAAUAAAUUUCUCAAAAGAUAAAGGAAACA